rnacentral:rRNA from 1 species
UAAUACCCUUAUUGUUUGACGUUACCUACAGAAGAAGCACCGGCUAACUCUGUGCCAGCAGCCGCGGUAAUACAGAGGGUGCAAGCGUUAUUCGGAAUUACUGGGCGUAAAGCGCGCGUAGGCGGAUAAUUAAGUCAGUUGUGAAAGCCCUGGGCUCAACCUAGGAACUGCAUCUGAUACUGAUUGUCUAGAGUUUAAGAGAGGGAAGUGGAAUUCCANGUGUAGCAGUGAAAUGCGUAGAUAUCUGGAGGAACAUCAGUGGCGAAGGCGACUUCCUGGCUUAAAACUGACGCUGAGGUGCGAAAGCGUGGGUAGCGAACGGGAUUAGAUACCCCGGUAGUCCACGCCGUAAACGAUGUC